rnacentral:sRNA from 1 species
AGGACAAUAUCUUCUUAUGAUGAAAUGUUAUGAUCUUGCAAAGUUUACUAUUUAUCAAAUAGCAGAAAUGGGCAAAGGUCUCAGUGAGUUGAGUCCUAUGCAGCAAGCCCUUAUUUAUUCAUUUUGUGAAAACCAUGACAAGGCCAUUGAGGUCUUGGACGGAAUCAGCUGCAAUAGAGCUGAGAUGACCAUGUGUGCUCUAUUAGCAAAAGUUCGAAUGAAGGCCAAGAGAACCAAGGGACAUGGAUGGAGCUGGAAGCCAUUAUCCUCAGCAAACUAAUGCAGAAACAGAAAACCAAGCCCUGCAUGUUAUAAAUGGGAGCUGAACAAUGAGAACACGUGGACACAGGGAGGGGAACAACACACACUGGGGCUUGUAGGAAAAAGGGUGGGGGGAGACAGAGCAUUAGGAAAAACAGCUAAUGCAUGCUGGGCUUAAUACUUAGGUGGUGGGUUGAUAGGUGCAGCAAACCACCAUGGCACGUGUUUACCUUUGUAACAAACCUGUAUAUCCUGCAUAUGUACCCUGGUACUU